rnacentral:rRNA from 1 species
UGGGGAAUAUUGCACAAUGGGCGCAAGCCUGAUGUAGCCAUGCCCCGUGUAUGAAGAAGGCCUUCGGGUUGUAAAGUACUUUCAGUCGGGAGGAAGGUGGUAAGGUUAAUAACCUUAUCAAUUGACGUUACCGACAGAAGAAGCACCGGCUAACUCCGUGCCAGCAGCCGCGGUAAUACGGAGGGUGCAAGCGUUAAUCGGAAUUACUGGGCGUAAAGCGCACGCAGGCGGUUGAUUGAGUCAGAUGUGAAAUCCCCGGGCUUAACCCGGGAAUUGCAUCUGAUACUGGUCAGCUAGAGUCUUGUAGAGGGGGGUAGAAUUCCAUGUGUAGCGGUGAAAUGCGUAGAGAUGUGGAGGAAUACCGGUGGCGAAGGCGGCCCCCUGGACAAAGACUGACGCUCAGGUGCGAAAGCGUGGGGAGCAAACAGG